GUCUUCGUGGUGUAGUGGUCAGUACGCUCGACGUUUAUUCCAGAGGUCCGUGGUUCGAGUCCCAGCGAGGGCA
rnacentral:tRNA from 1 species